rnacentral:lncRNA from 1 species
CCCGUUCUUUGGUUUUAUUGUUCUGUGGAAAAGAACAUUUUCUCUGAUACUUUAAGUUUGAAGAAUCAGUGCAUAUUUUAAUGCCACAUAUGCAAAAAUAUCUUCCAAAUUUACUUAGAACUUUAGGUAGGAGUAUGACUUUUUGGGGGAGAAGGAUAGAAGAGAAUUCAUUUAAAACAACUAGAAAAUGCAGUCAAUAAUCAAGAAUAUAUGUUCUUCAAAAAAAAAUUCACUAGAACCUGGGAAUUUUCAUUAUGGAGUCUCACCCAGUCGCCCAGGCAGGAGUGUGGUGGUAUGAUCUCGGCUCACUGCAACCUCCCCCUCCCAAGUUCAAGCAAUUCUCCUGCCUCAGCCUCCUGAGUAGCAGGGAUUACAGGCACCCACCACCACGCCCAGCUAAUUUUUGUAUUUUUAGUAGAGACAGGGUUUCACUGUGUUGGCCAGGCUGGUCUCGAACUCCUUACCUCGUGAUCCUCCUGCUUCAGCCUCCCAAAGUGCCGGUGUGUCCGGAAUUGGUGGGUUCUUGGUCUCACUGACUUCAAAAAUGAAGCCACGGACCCUCGCAGUGAGUGUUACAGCUCUUAAGUGGCGCGUCUGGAGUUUGUUCCUUCUGAUGCUCGGAUGUGUUGGGAGUUUCUUCCUUCUGGUGGGUUCAUGGUCUCGCUGGCUCAGGAGUGAAGCUGCAGACCUUGGCGGGGAGUGUUACAGCUCUUAAAGCAGGGCCUCUGGAGUUGUUCGUUCCUCCCAGUGGGCUCGUGGUCCCGCUGGCUUCAGGAGUGAAGCUGCAGACCUUGGCGGCAAGUGUUACAGCUCAUAAAAGCAGUGGGGACCUAAAAAGUGAGUAGUAGCAAGAUUUAUUGCAAAGAGUUAAAGAAAAAGCUCCCACAGGGUGCAAGGGGACCCUAGCGGGUUGCCACUGCUGGCUCGGGCAGCCUGCUUUUAUUCUCUUAUCUGGCCCCACCCACCUCCUGCUGAUUGGUCCAUUUUACAGCAAGCUGAGUGGUCUGUUUUGACAGGGCGCUGAUUGGUGCGUUUACAAUCCCUGAGCUAGACACAAAGGUUCUCCACAUCCCCACUAGAUUAACUAGAUACAGAGUGUGGACACAAAGUGUUCUCCAAGGCCCCACCAGAGUAGCUAGAUACAGAGUGUCAAUUGGUGCAUUCACAAACCCUGAGCUAGACACAGGCUGCUGAUUGGUGUGUUUACAAACCUUGAGCUAGAUACAGAGUGCCGAUUGGUGUAUUUACAAUCCCUGAGCCAGACAUAAAGGUUCUCCAAGGCCCCAAAGUAGCUAGAUACAGAGUGUCAACUGGUGCAUUCACAAACCUUGAGCUAGACACAGGGUGCUGACUGGUGUAUUUACAAUCCCUGAGCUAGACAUAAAGGUUCUCCACGUCCCCACCAGACUCAGGAGCCCAGCUGGCUUCACCCAGUGGAUCCCUUACCGGGGCUGCAGGUGGAGCUGCCUGCCAGUCCAGGUGCCUUGCGCCCGCACUCCUCAGCCCUUGGGUGGUCGAUGGGACUGGGCGCCGUGGAGCAGGGGGUGGCGCUCCUCGGGGAGGCUCGGGCCGCCCAGGAGCCCCAUGGAGGGGGUGGGAGGCUCAGGCAUGGCGGGCUGCAAGUCCCGAGUCCUGCCCCGCGGGAAGGCAGCUAAGGCCCAGUGAGAAAUUGAGCGCAGCGCCAGGUGGGCUGGCACUGCUGGGUGACCCAGUACACCCUCCGCAGCCGCUGGCCCGGGUGCUAAGCCCCUCAUUGCCCGUGGCCUGCAGGGCAGGCCGGCUGCUCAGAGUGCGCGGCCCGCCAAGGCCACGCCCACCCGGAACUCCAGCUGGCCCGCAAGCGCCGCGCGCAGCCCCGGUUCCGGCUGGCGCCUCUCCCGCCACACCUCCCUGCAAGCUGAGGGAGCCGGCUCUGACCUUGGCCAGCCUAGAAAGGGGCUCCCACAGUGCAGCGGUGGGCUGAAGGGCUCCUCAAGUGCCGCCAAAGUGGGAGCCCAAGCAGAGGAGGCGCCGAGAGCGAGUGAGGGCUGUGAGAACUGCCAGCACGCUGUCACCUCUCACUGGGAUUACAAGCGUGAGCCACCGCGGCCAGUCAGUGCUAUCUUUUAAAGAUUUUUUUAUUUUUGUUUUUGUUUUUUUUUUCAGUCAAUAAACUUGGACUUUGCACCUUUAACUAACUUGAUACAGCUCCAGACAAAGCUAAGAGUCUAGAUAAGCAGUCAGUCCAGUUGUGGAUUGUGUCAGAAAAAUGACUUUGGCAACUCAUGUAGAGACUAUGCUCAGGUUCCCGUGUCCAUAAAAAUUGGUAUAAUAACACUCAUUCCCCUUUUAUUUUGCAGACAUCAUAAAGAUGAAUAAGAUAAUUAAAGGAACCCAAAUAUAUGGGCAUAAACAUAUAAACCUGAGGUAGGACUAUUAUUAUAAUGAUGUUAAACAAUGAGCAUAUUCAAAAGCUAAGUAAUUAAUACAAACUGUCCAAGACCAUUUUUAAAUAUUGCAUGCAUAUGGAAAUUUGGAAAGCAAGAAGGAAUCACAAGCUGGGCCACUGGGAAAGUUCGAGAGCCCUAAUCCUGCCAGAGGCACUGCAGGGUGUAGUCACUUUCAGCACUCCUGUCUGACAACUCCCAGGAAUUAGUAAAUAAGCUGAAAAUGUGAAGUCAUGCAAAGAUUUGUUUGAAAAGCAAAACGUUUCAAUAAAAGGUCUUCCUGGAUUAAGAAUCUAAGUAUGAUUUUCAUGAACCACCACCACUAAAGAUCAGAUAAUAUUAUUCAUGCUGCAAUUUGAAAGAGAAGCAAGAGGAAGAUCAGACCGACUCUGCCACUGCAUAAAAUCAUCCCCCUGGGAAUGAACAAAGCAUUCCGAGAAUGAGAAAUGGAAUAUUGGUGACUUCCUGGCUAACAGUUCCAUCUAGAGUCAACUGCGGUCAUGAUUUUCCAAUAACAGCCUGUUACUAAACCAAGAGAGGGAACCAACAAUGCCUGAGAAGAUUUGCAAGAACUUUGCCCAGCUGAGGCCCUUAAUGGAUGCAAUGAGGACAACUAACUCAAUCAAAUUCUCUUUUUGAAAGAAGAAUAAACUCUAAGUAAAGGGAAAGCUAUGGCAAUCAUGAGAAGACCUUGGGUUUUGACAGUAGAGACCUAGGACAGAAGUGGCCUGGACUGCUGAGUUGGAAUGCUGCCCAAACUCAAAAGAAAACCAAGCUGUGCCCUGACCACCUUGGACACAUGUCACUGGGACCUCCUGAAGCUGUGUCACAGGAUGGUAGAAAGCAGUCUUCAGCCUGAGACCCAUCCGUAGGUAAGUAGCUGAAUUGGGGUUUUAUCUUGGCUGAAGUUUAACAACCAGGUGGUCUUAAUUUCUCCUUACCAUUAUGGCACUCAGUGAUCAUAUUGUGGGUUUCUGUUGUUGUUGUUGUUUGUUCCAGCCUUUUUCUCAUCAGAUUUGACCAACUCUAACUGACUUGGUCAGAUCUAAGUGAGAAUUCCA